AACGCGAAGAACCUUACCUGGCCUUGACAUCUGUCGAAUCUUGCAGAGAUGCAGGAGUGCCUUCGGGAACGACAAGACAGGUGCUGCAUGGCUGUCGUCAGCUCGUGUCGUGAGAUGUUGGGUUAAGUCCCGCAACGAGCGCAACCCUUGUCCUUAGUUGCCAUCAUUUAGUUGGGAACUCUAAGGAGACCGCCGGUGACAAACCGGAGGAAGGUGGGGAUGACGUCAAGUCAUCAUGGCCUUUAUGGCCAGGGCUACACACGUGCUACAAUGGCAGGUACAGAGGGAAGCCAACUCGCGAGAGGGAGCCAAUCCCAGAAAGCCUGUCGUAGUCCGGAUCGGAGUCUGCAACUCGACUCCGUGAAGUCGGAAUCGCUAGUAAUCGCAGAUCAGCAUUGCUGCGGUGAAUACGUUCCCGGGCCUUGUACACACCGAGACGAC
rnacentral:rRNA from 1 species